rnacentral:rRNA from 1 species
GACGAACGCUGGCGGCGUGCUUAACACAUGCAAGUCGAACGGAAAGGCCCUGCUUUUGUGGGGUGCUCGAGUGGCGAACGGGUGAGUAACACGUGAGUAACCUGCCCUUGACUUUGGGAUAACUUCAGGAAACUGGGGCUAAUACCGGAUAGGAGCUCCUGCUGCAUGGUGGGGGUUGGAAAGUUUCGGCGGUUGGGGAUGGACUCGCGGCUUAUCAGCUUGUUGGUGGGGUAGUGGCUUACCAAGGCUUUGACGGGUAGCCGGCCUGAGAGGGUGACCGGCCACAUGGGGACUGAGAUACGGCCCAGGCUCCUACGGGAGGCAGCGGUGGGGAAUAUUGCACAGUGGGCCGAAGCCUGAUGCAGCAACGCCGCGUGCGGGAUGACGGCCUUCGAGUUGUAAACCGCUUUCGCCUGUGACGAAGCGUGAGUGACGGUAAUGAGUAAAGAAGCACCGGCUAACUACGUG